rnacentral:lncRNA from 1 species
GCCUUUCUCCUCUCCAUAACUCUCUCUCUCUCUCAGCUCUAGCUGCCUCUGCCAGGAGUUAACUGAGGCAUUCCAGGAAUCAAACUCCUAAUGAAGGUUCCAGAUGCAUUUAUUUAAUGACAUGUUUGAUUUGAUCAUAUUAUUAACUUUUAGAAUCAAGUGUCUCCUACUACGUCAAAAGUAGACAAUUCAUAGUUCAUAAUAAAAUAAUAUACAAAUAGACAAAUCUUCCCUACAUUUAUUCUGUACAGACAAUAACAGUCGAUUUCUCUCCGAGCGCCAGGAUAGAGGGAAAUAUAGACAAUGUUUCAAAUGUUUUAAAUACAAUUUUAGUUAAAAUGUGGAGUUGAAUUUAACCAUACUGUCCCGGAGUAGAUCUGUAUUGAAUGUUUCGACUGUUCAGUAGGUUUACUGUCCCGGAAUAGAUCUGUAUUGAAUGUUUCGACUGUUCAGUAGGUUUACUGUACCGGAUUAGAUCUGUAUUGAAUGUUACAACUGUUCAGUAGGUUUACUGUCCCGGAGUAGAUCUGUAUUGAAUGUUAUGACUGUUCAGUAGGUUUACUGUCCCGGAGUAGAUCUGUAUUGAAAGUUACGACUGUUCAGUAGGUUUACUGUCCCGGAGUAGAUCUGUAUUGAAUGUUACGACUGUUCAGUAGGUUUACUGUCCCGGAGUAGAUCUGUAUUGAAAGUUACGACUGUUCA